rnacentral:tRNA from 1 species
GCUCCCAUAGUCUAGCCCGGUCCAGGAUGCGAGCUUCUCGAGCUUGAGACAGGGGUUCAAAUCCCCUUGGGAGCA